rnacentral:tmRNA from 1 species
GGGGAUGACAGGCUUCGACGGAGGAGGCUGGUCCCGGACGGCGAGCCGAGAGGUACCGACCUCGUAAAAUCAGUACACAAAAUUAAGUGCCAAUCGCACAAACACAUACGCUGCUAUGCCCCUCGCUGCCUAAGCGAAGCAUAAAAGCUAAAUGACUCCCUUGUGGGUCACGUCUACCUACCCCGCUCCUUAACCGGAGGUAGGCUAGGCGACACAAAGUUAAGGUGCCAUAUAAACUGCCGUAGUUUAUAUGAAAGAGGGCUUUCGGGUCCAAUGCGGAUAACGCUUAUUCAGUAUUGUUGAUUUUCUGAAUACAACGUGAAAAGAUGAAUCAACUACGCUCGUAGAAGUGCGACGAUCUAUUCUUUCGGACGCGGGUUCGAUUCCCGCCAUCUCCACAG